AUUGCUAGUAAUCGCGAAUCAGAAUGUCGCGGUGAAUACGUUCCCGGGCCUUGUACACACCGCCCGUCACACCAUGAGAGUCGAUAACACCCGAAGCCUGUGAGCUAACCUUAGGGAGGCAGCAGUCGAAGGUGGGGUUGAUGAUUAGGGUGAAGUCGUAACAAGGUACC
rnacentral:rRNA from 1 species